GAACCAACAGGGAUUGCCUCAGUAACGGCGAGUGAAGCGGCAACAGCUCAAAUUUGAAAUCUGGCCCUUUCAGGGCCCGAGUUGUAAUUUGGAGAAGAUGCUUCGGGUGCGGCCCCGGUCUAAGUUCCUUGGAACAGGACGUCACAGAGGGUGAGAAUCCCGUACGUGCCCGGUGGUCGCCCCCGUGUGAAGCUCUUUCGACGAGUCGAGUUGUUUGGGAAUGCAGCUCAAAAUGGGUGGUAAAUUUCAUCUAAAGCUAAAUAUUGGCCAGAGACCGAUAGCGCACAAGUAGAGUGAUCGAAAGAUGAAAAGCACUUUGGAAAGAGAGUUAAACAGUACGUGAAAUUGUUGAAAGGGAAGCGCUUGCAACCAGACUUGCGCGCGGCCGAUCAUCCGGUGUUCGCACCGGUGCACUCGACCGCGCGCAGGCCAGCAUCGGUUUGGGUGGCUGGAGAAAGGCCACGGGAAUGUGGCUCCCCUCGGGGAGUGUUAUAGCCCGCGGCGCAAUGCAGCCCACCCGGACCGAGGACCGCGCUUCGGCUAGGAUGCUGGCGUAAUGGUUGUAAGC
rnacentral:rRNA from 1 species